rnacentral:rRNA from 1 species
AUUGAACGCUGGCGGCAGGCCUAACACAUGCAAGUCGAACGAGUGGCGGACGGGUGAGUAAUGUCGGGGAAACUGCCUGAUGGAGGGGGAUAACUACUGGAAACGGUAACUAAUACCGCAUACCAUCAGAUGUGCCCAGAUGGGAUUAGCUUGUUGAUGGGGUAGCGGCUAACCAAGGCGACGCACCCGAGCUGGUCGGAGAAGAUGACCAGCCACACUGGAACUGAGACACGUUCCAGACUCCUACGGGAGGCAGCCGUUGGGAACAGUGCACAACGGGCGCAAGCCUGACGCAGCCAUGCCGCGUGUCUGAAGAAGGCUUUAGGGUUGUAAAGUACGUUCAGCUGGGAGGCGUUACCGGCAGAAGAAGCACCGGCUAACUCCGUGCCAGCCGCCGCGGUAAUUC